rnacentral:rRNA from 1 species
UUUAGCAUGGAAUAAUAGAAUAGGACUCGCGUCUUAUUUUGUUGGUUUGGAGAUGUGAGUAAUGAUGAAUAGGGACAGUUGGGGGCAUUGGUAUUCAGUAGUCAGAGGUGAAAUUCUUGGAUUUACUGAAGACUAACUAGUGCGAAAGCAUUUGCCAAGGAUGUUUUCAUUGAUCAAGAACGAAAGUUAGGGGAUCGAAGACGAUUAGAUACCGUCGUAGUCUUAACCAUAAACGAUGCCGACUAGGGAUCGGCGGAUGACGUUUAGCGUUGCCGCCGGGACCUUGCGAGAAAUCAAAGUUUUUGGGUUCUGGGGGGAGUAUGGUCGCAAGGCUGAAACUUAAAGGAAUUGACGGAAGGGCACCACCAGGAGUGGAGCCUGCGGCUUAAUUUGACUCAACACGGGAGAACUCACCAGGUCCGGACAUGGUAAGGAUUGACAGAAUGAGAGCUCUUUCAAGAUUCUAUGGGUGGUGGUGCAUGGCCGUUCUUAGUUGGUGGAGUGAUUUGUCUGGUUAAUUCCGAUAACGAACGAGACCUCUACCUGUCAUACUACGACUGUUGAUGUGAAUCGGCAGGCGUUCUAUGAGGGACUGACUGGGGUUACCAGUAGGAAGUUUGAGGCAAUAACAGGUCUGUGAUGCCCUUAGAUGUUCUGGGCUGCGCGCGCGCUACACUGAUGGAGGCAGCGAGUCUUACCUGUACCGGAAGGUAUGGGAAAUCUUGUGAAACUCCAUCGUGCUGGGGAUAGAGCAUUGCAAUA